AUUCAGAAGAGAUCGUUGCUCUUCAGGGUGUCCCAUGGCUUUAUCAUCCAAAGUACUUGAUGUGAUAGACUGCAGAGCAAAGACGAUAAUGGUGAUCCAUAGCUUGUGUCCUGGAGGCUGGCGGAAGUACCAGCCAUGUAGUAAGGGUAGCUGCUAGUUCCUAUCCAGUAGAAGGACCCUGGUGACAUCACCAGACCAUGUGACUGCUUGGUCACAUGGUACAGAGAGCUACAGGAAGCAGCAAAGUGGGAAAUCCAAAUGAAUGCAAUGGACUGAGCUGUGCUGAUCUGCUGCUGAUGGGAGAGUUCUGAUGUAAUAUUGAUUUUAAUUUUUACAAAACAUCUUAUUUCACAAGACAGCCUGGAAGCUGGAGGUUUGCAGUGUAUGUAAAGCUGAACACUGCAGCCAUUGCAGAGACUGAACAUGGAGAAUAUUAUGGAGACUGAAGAAAAAAGGGACUUUUAAGAGAAGUCACUUUUAUUUCAUAUUUAUAUAGGUUUUUUUUU